rnacentral:rRNA from 1 species
CCUACGGGUGGCAGCAGUGAGGAAUAUUUGUCAAUGGACGAGAGUCUGAACCAGCCAAGUAGCGUGAAGGAUGACUGCUCUAUGAGUUGUAAACUUCUUUUAUAAAGGAAUAAAACGAGGCACGUGUGCCUUUUUGCAUGUACUUUAUGAAUAAGGAUCGGCUAACUCCGUGCCAGCAGCCGUGGUAAUACGGAGGAUCCGAGCGUUGUCCGGAUUUAUUGGGUUUAAAGGGAGCGUAGAUGGGUUGUUAAGUCAGUUGUGAAAGUUUGCGGCUCAACCGUAAAAUUGCAAUUGAUACUGGCAGACUUGAGUACAGUUGAGGUAGGCGGAAUUCGUGGUGUAGCGGUGAAAUGCUUAGAUAUCACGAAGAACACCGAUUGCGAAGGCAGCUUACUAAACUGUGACUGACAUUGAUGCACGAAAGUGUGGGUAGCAAACAGGAUUAGAUACCCUGGUAGUC